rnacentral:lncRNA from 1 species
AAUAAAAUCUGGCACUAGAUGCACCCUGCCUCCUUAUAUAAGAGGGGGCGGGAGACAAGCCCUAUCAGCACAUCCCAGAAAAUGGGAAACCGAAUCACCCAGGGGAUGGCAAGGAAUGACCAGAGGGAAAGUUCCAGUUCUGUCCAACAUGCACUACCAGCCCCAUUUUGGAAAAGAACAGAUUUAAUAGACCUCACCAAGACAAGAAUUGUUUUUCGUCAAAGGAAAUCAAAGGAACAAACAAGAGGCAGUGACCACCAGAGACUUCACCUUUUGGUGUAGGAAAACCCAAGCAGACAGUGUCUACAUCCAUCAAAGCCCAAUGUAUUAAAUAUUUAUUGAAUAAGAACCCACGGACUCUUCCUUACCAGAGCCUUAGAUUGCCAUGUGCGUCUGAUUGCUCCAAAGACAAGACUAUUGUGAUUUUGGCCCCAUAUGCAUUUUAGAGUAACAAGUCUUACCAGAAAAAUAAUAGCCAGCCCCAGCUUAAUUCCUAGAGAAACUCAAACCACCUUGUUAAGAACAAUCCCAGAGGAGAGUUUAUACUAAGGAGCACUACACAAUGCUGUUUGCCAUCUCUGGGCCCUCUAAAAGCAAGCCCAACCUUGGAAAAGGAAUGUCUGCCACCAGGGAAACGUGGCUGCACUGCUGGAGGAAGAACUUGAUCAUGACGGGCAAUGCUUGGAAGUAAAGAAGCAUCUGCUGCCUUGGAAAGGCUUGGUCAGGGCAAUCAUUGUCACAGGCCAUGUUUUUUCUCUGACUAUCUCUUGGAAUUUCAGAGUGACUAAGUGAUUACUACAAUUAGAGCAAGAGGCGGUGUCUUCCAGAAGUCGGUGUGGGCAGCACCAAACCAUCCACCAUGCAUCAGAGAAAAGCCAGACAGCUGGAAGGCUCUAUUCCCAGGCCACUCUCCAGUCCUCAAACAUGUCACCAUCUCUCAUGCCUCCUUACUGGGCCCAUGCUGUCUCCUUGACCAGGAAUGUCCUCCACCCCGAUCCCAUCCCCAUAGCCCCCUUCACUGUAAGAUCUGGGCCCAGCAAAUUGCCCAGCUCCUCUUCUCUGAAUGCUUCUUUAAUGUCUCUGAGAAGGAGUUCCUUCCUCCUUUACUGUCCAUCUCUUCCACCACAUGAGGGGUUUGGGGGAGGUCUUUGAAGACAAGGGACCCUUCCUCAUUCAUAUUUGAAUACUGAGCCCAAGCACACGCCCCUAGCAUCUGCAAUACACACAUGUCAAGGUGAAUGGGGAGAUAGAUGCCAAGAUCCUUGAGCGCUGCAAAUCUUCACUGCCAACUUCAACUACUCCAAAAUAAAGUCAAAAUUUUAAAAGUAAGCUUUGAUGACUCAAGUGACUAAUUUUAUGGACAAGGGCCCCUUAAUGAAAUCUAAGAGGAGGAAUGUGGUGACAUAAGCAGGACAUGGCUGUGAGACACUGAGCAAACAGUUUAUCCUCCCUGAGCUUCGAUUUUCUCAUCUGUAAAAACGAAGAAUGGUGGCAAUUUGAGCUCAAAGUCCAUCUCUAACAUUCUAACUCAGUGAAGCAGCCUGUGGCAUUUUCACAUCCUUAAACGGAAAUGUGUUACACGUCAAGGAUGAUUCCUCAAGGCAUUUUGCUGCCCUCCUGGGUUGAUAUUUUUCCUUUCAUUUUCACCUUAAGCCCCGCUCCUGUUUAUUGCUCACAAUGCACUCCAGACUGGGGAUGGCUGACAAUUCCCCCAUGAAGGACACACUGUAAAGACAGAUGGAACUGCUGCCUAGUCAAGCUGCACUUAAUGCAACGUCACCCCAAGACAGCCUGCACCUUCUUCCCCAAUGCAUCUGAGCCUACCCUUAGCCAGCCCUCACCCUCGCCUCCCCCAGCAACCAGCAAAGCUCUUCCCAAGUCAUGCCUGAGCCCAGAUAAUUUCAUUAUUUUACAGAGGCAUCUCUGUGUGCCCAUAUAUCCUGUCAUUCUCCUUGUCCAUGACAAAUGCUUGGCAUAAAAGUUACCUUUGGAAAUGUGUUAAGGCAGGCAGCAUGCACAUUCAGAGAGGCCGGGGUGGGGAAGGCGAGAAGGAUGGG